UUGCCUGGCGGCGAUAGCGCGGUGGUCCCACCUGACCCCAUGCCGAACUCAGAAGUGAAACGCCGUAGCGCCGAUGGUAGUGUGGGGCUUCCCCAUGUGAGAGUAGGGAACUGCCAGGCAUC
rnacentral:rRNA from 1 species